rnacentral:misc_RNA from 1 species
GAAGAUCCUGGGCGCGCGCGAGGAUUUUUAUUCUCGAAGUUGAGCGGCGGCUGAGAGGAUUGGAUCGCGCGAGGGCAAAAAUCAGCCGGCGAGGAAGACAGGCUAAGGGCGGCUGGAGAUUUUUUUUGCUCCAUCGACGACGGCGCGGGGAGAUAAGAACCUGCAUCCGACUUCAAAAAAAAAAUCUCACGGAGAUGAGGAUGAAAGAAAUGGUGUCAGGAAUCCAGCGCCUGCGCGUCGAGCGAAGUGCAGCAGCCAGGCGUGUGGGUACGGUUUGGAGGAGAAAAAAUAAUGGAGAUGGGGAUAGAAAAAGUAACGGACCCUGUGUAAACA